GCGGCGUGCCUAACACAUGCAAGUCGAGCGAAGUUUAUUAAAGGAAGUUUUCGGAUGGAAUUUAAUAAACUUAGCGGCGGACGGGUGAGUAACGCGUGGGCAACCUGCCCUGUACAGAGGGACAACAACGGGAAACCGUUGCUAAUACCUCAUAAAACCCUAAAGGGGCAUCCCUUAUGGGUCAAAGAAUUUCGGUACAGGAUGGGCCCGCGUCUGAUUAGCUAGUUGGUGAGGUAAUGGCUCACCAAGGCGACGAUCAGUAGCCGACCUGAGAGGGUGAUCGGCCACACUGGAACUGAGACACGGUCCAGACUCCUACGGGAGGCAGCAGUGGGGAAUAUUGCACAAUGGGGGAAACCCUGAUGCAGCAACGCCGCGUGAGCGAUGAAGGCCUUCGGGUCGUAAAGCUCUGUCCUAAGGGAAGAAAUUUGACGGUACCUUAGGAGGAAGCCCCGGCUAACUACGUGCCAGCAGCCGCGGUAAUACGUAGGGGGCAAGCGUUAUCCGGAAUCACUGGGCGUAAGGGUGCGUAGGCGGUCUUACAGUCAGGGUGAAGGCUACGGCUCACCGUAGUAGCCUUGAAACUGUAGGACGUGGUUCAGGAGAAGAAAGUG
rnacentral:rRNA from 1 species